UUCCGUUGAAUGACGUGCUUGCACUGAUUUCAACAAUGAAGCGAGUGGCGAACUGGUGAGUAACACGUGGGGAAUCUGCCCAGAAGCAGGGGAUAACACUUGGAAACAGGUGCUAAUACCGUAUAACAACAAAAUCCGCAUGGAUUUUGUUUGAAAGGUGGCUUCGGCUAUCACUUCUGGAUGAUCCCGCGGCGUAUUAGUUAGUUGGUGAGGUAAAGGCCCACCAAGACGAUGAUACGUAGCCGACCUGAGAGGGUAAUCGGCCACAUUGGGACUGAGACACGGCCCAAACUCCUACGGGAGGCAGCAGUAGGGAAUCUUCCACAAUGGACGAAAGUCUGAUGGAGCAAUGCCGCGUGAGUGAAGAAGGGUUUCGGCUCGUAAAACUCUGUUGUUAAAGAAGAACACCUUUGAGAGUAACUGUUCAAGGGUUGACGGUAUUUAACCAGAAAGCCACGGCUAACUACGUGCCAGCAGCCGCGGUAAUACGUAGGUGGCAAGCGUUGUCCGGAUUUAUUGGGCGUAAAGCGAGCGCAGGCGGUUUUUUAAGUCUGAUGUGAAAGCCUUCGGCUUAACCGGAGAAGUGCAUCGGAAACUGGGAGACUUGAGUGCAGAAGAGGACAGUGGAACUCCAUGUGUAGCGGUGGAAUGCGUAGAUAUAUGGAAGAACACCAGUGGCGAAGGCGGCUGUCUAGUCUGUAACUGACGCUGAGGCUCG
rnacentral:rRNA from 1 species